AGCGAACGCUGGCGGCAGGCCUAACACAUGCAAGUCGAACGAAGUCUUCGGACUUAGUGGCGGACGGGUGAGUAACACGUGGGAACGUACCUUUUGGUUCGGAACAACUCAGGGAAACUUGAGCUAAUACCGGAUGAGCCCUUAGGGGGAAAGAUUUAUCGCCGAAAGAGCGGCCCGCGUUAGAUUAGCUAGUUGGUGAGGUAAAGGCUCACCAAGGCUACGAUCUAUAGCUGGUCUGAGAGGAUGAUCAGCCAAACUGGGACUGAGACACGGCCCAGACUCCUACGGGAGGCAGCAGUGGGGAGUCUUGCGCAAUGGGCGAAAGCCUGACGCAGCCAUGCCGCGUGAAUGAUGAAGGUCUUAGGAUUGUAAAAUUCUUUUACCAGGGACGAUAAUGACGGUACCUGGAGAAAAAGCCCCGGCUAACUUCGUGCCAGCCGCCGCGGUAAUAC
rnacentral:rRNA from 1 species